rnacentral:rRNA from 1 species
UACGUAGGGUGCGAGCGUUAAUCGGCAUUACUGGGCGUAAAGCGUGCGCAGGCGGUUGGGUGUGUCAGAUGUGAAAUCCCGAGGCUCAACCUCGGGACUGCGUCUGAAACUACUCGACUAGAGUACUGGAGAGGGUAACGGAAUUCACGGUGUAGCAGUGAAAUGCGUAGAUAUCGUGAGGAACAACAGAAGCGAAGGCGGUUACCUGGACAGUUACUGACGCUCAGGCACGAAAGCAUGGGGAGCAAAAGGG